GGACCUACGGGAGGCAGCAGUGGGGAAUAUUGGGCAAUGGGCGCAAGCCUGACCCAGCAACGCCGCGUGAAGGAAGAAGGCUUUCGGGUUGUAAACUUCUUUUGUCAGGGACGAAGCAAGUGACGGUACCUGACGAAUAAGCCCCGGCUAACUAUGUGCCAGCAGCCGCGGUAAUACAUAGGGGGCAAGCGUUAUCCGGAAUUAUUGGGUGUAAAGGGUGCGUAGACGGAAGAACAAGUUGGUUGUGAAAUCCCUCGGCUCAACUGAGGAACUGCAACCAAAACUAUUCUCCUUGAGUGUCGGAG
rnacentral:rRNA from 1 species